ACCAUAGAGCAGUGCGGCCAGGCUGUGUGAAGGCAAAGCUUCUGAAAGGCUGGUGUAUAGGACCAGCACGGGAGAGAUGAACCGAGGCAGCUGCUGUCUGUGUUGUGCUUUUUUCUCUGAGUUGUAAAAGAUCAGAAGGUGACAGCUGUUCCUGCAGGGAAGACCAGUCUACGGAGCUCAGGAUCAGAUGGUGACAGUGGUCUCUUCAGGGUCAUGGAGCCAGGGAAGACCAGUCUGUGACAGGGGUCUCGUCAGGGUCAGGCAGCCAGUGAAGCCAGUCUGUGACGGCAUAGAGGUGAACUUUUGCUGAUACAACACUUUACUCUAUGUGCAGCAAACACGGGACCAGCAAGAAGCUUUAAAGAUUGAAACUAUUUUUAAGCCAGUCUGACAAACCUCUAAAGUUUAUUUCCAAACUGCAUCAAGGGUUGACAGAGGAUUUUCCCAAUGACACAAAAUAUGUACAACAAAAACACAAGGAAGACCUGGGAGACGCUAUUGAUGAUGAUGAAUGGAUGGCUACAGAUAUGUUAAAUGUCCUGUCACGUUCAUAUCACCUCAGACAUAAAUUACAGCAGUUUAAGACCAUCCAUAGAACGUACUAUAUGCCAGUGAAACUGAAUAUCAUGCACUCAGAAAUGGUAUUCUUCUGCUGGAGGUGUAAAACACAAAAGGAGACAUAUUUGCAUAUGUUAUGGUCUUGUGAAGGCUGGCUGAAUUUUGGCAGAGUAUGUUAUUUUAUCUCAGCAUCUCUACAGAUUUUCCAUUCUCCCUGUUUUUGUUUGCUUGGAAAUGUUGUUACUGGAGACUUAUCAGAAGAAACUGUGUAACCAAGCAUUUAUAGAGACUAAGAAAUUGAGUGCCAUUAAUUGGAAGGUUGGUUAUCCUCCCACAAUGGAUGGAAGAAAUGUCAAGUUAUGCAUCACUCGAUUUAUUUCAAGAUUAAGGGUAUAAUGUACACAUUUCAAAAGGUACGGAUGCCUUAUACGACAAAAGCAGUCUGUAUUGAAAACAUGCCCACGUCAGGGGAGAUACCUAUUUAGGCAAUCCCUAGCUGCUGGGCUGCUCAGUCCUGGCCCCGGGGGUCUACCGUACUGCUGGUUGUCACUCCAGCCUUGGCCUAAACCCCAUGAAACCAAUAACGAAUGUUUCACAAAGAUCCUAAAGCUGAGUGGGGUGUGUUGGGUUGGGAUGCUGCAGGGCCGAGGACAGGACAGGAUAGGGGCAGGACAGGGUGACCCAACUAUAUUGUUUGCAAGUAAAAAGAGCUCUACAGUACUAUUAGGCCUAUGAUAUAAAUUACUUUAAACAAAAAUAUAGUUCAGUCUUAUCAAUCACUUACACAUAUUUAAUAAGGAUCUUUUACUUAGCUUGAUGACUGCGGCCCUUUUUGCUUACUUUUUGUUGUUCUAAAUAGAUGACUGGAAGGGUUAUAUUAGAUUGUGUAGAAAUGCAGGAAAUUAGCUUUAGAUGCCCCCAAAAAUGGGAGGACCCCCCGCCAAAAUAAGUCCAUGCCCCCCAGUUCUAAAAUCAAAGUUGCGCCCCAGGUAGUGCGUACAGCCCAGUACAUCACUGGGGCCAAGCUUCCUACCAUCCAGGACCUCUAUACCAG